UACGAAGGGGGCGAGCGUUAUUCGGAAUCACUGGGCGUAAAGCGUGCGUAGGCCGUCUAGCAAGUUGGAAGUGAAAGCCCAGGGCUCAACCCUGGAAUUGCUUUCAAAACUGCAAGACUAGAAUCUCGGAGAGGAUAGCGGAAUUCCCAGUGUAGUAGUGAAAUACGUAGAUAUUGGGAGGAACACCAGUGGCGCAAGCGGCUAUCUGGACGAGUAUUGACGCUGAGGCACGAAAGCGUGGGGGAUCAAACAGG
rnacentral:rRNA from 1 species